rnacentral:rRNA from 1 species
GACGGAGGGGGCAAGCGUUGUUCGGAAUUAUUGGGCGUAAAGAGCUCGUAGGUGGCCUGUCGCGUCGGCUGUGAAAACUCGGGGCUCAACUCCGAGCUUGCAGUCGAUACGGGCAGGCUAGAGUUCGGCAGGGGAGACUGGAAUUCCUGGUGUAGCGGUGAAAUGCGUAGAUAGUCAAGGAGGAACACCGAUGGCGAAGGCAGGGAUCUCCUGGGCUGAACACUGACGUCGAUGCACGAAAGCGUGGGGAGCAAACAGGA